AUUGAACGCUGGCGGCAGGCCUAACACAUGCAAGUCGAACGAGCGGCAGACGGGUGAGUAAUGUCUGGGAAACUGCCAGAUGGAGGGGGAUAACUACUGGAAAACGUAGCUAAUACCGCAUACCAUCAGAUGUGCCCAGAUGGGAUUAGCUAGUAGGUGGGGUAAUGGCUCACCUAGGCGACGAUCCCUAGCUGGUCUGAGAGGAUGACCAGCCACAAGGGAAAUUAGACACGGUCCAGACUCCUACGGGAGGAAGGAGUGGGGAAUAGUGCACAAUGGGCGCAAGCAUGAUGCAGCCAUGCCGCGUGUGUGAAGAAGGCCUUCGGGUUGUAAAGCACUGUCAGCGAGGAGGCGUUACUCGCAGAAGAAGCCCCGGCUAACUCCGUGCCAGCAGCCGCGGUAAUAC
rnacentral:rRNA from 1 species